rnacentral:lncRNA from 1 species
CAGGGUAGUCCUUGUGAGGAGUCACAGGACUGUUUGAGUUGAGCACGAUUCGAAUGAUCUGAUCAGGGUUGACAGUUUAACCCUGAGUCAUCCUAAACACAGGGGUCAAAAGGAUGAAUUAUACAGUAACCAUAUUUAUGUAGGUUCUGAGUGUUGCGAUUGUGACUCUUUGAUCUAUCCGAACGUUGGGUACCAUUGCUAGAUGAUCACUUCGAUUAGUACAGGAAUUGAUUCCUGUGCUAUCGGCUUAGGUUCGAACCUGUGGGGUCACACACAUUAGAGGUUCCUAUCUGAUCUGAUGGCUGAUAUAGAAUCUUACAUGUUUGAGACUCAGUGAUCGAGA